CCAUCUCCACCAGGUGCUGAUCCAACAAAGGAUGGAGAUUUCACAUUACAGUGUUCUCUGGUCAGAUACAGAGGGUUGGAUCCUUGUCCAGAGAAGAGCCUCCUCUGGGUGGAUGAGACAGGAAGUGAGCUGCUUGGUGAAGGUGUUGGGUUCAAGUCUGGCGGACAGACUGGCUGUGAUUCUUAUCUCACUGUGAAGCUUCAGAGCAGCAGCAACAGAACAUACACCUGCCAGUUUGUUAAGAACAACACAGUGAAGAUAGAAGCUCACUACACACCUGAGACUGAAGCUUCCACUGACUGGUCUCCUCUGAGCUUCAUCAUGAUGACUCUGAGGAUCACAGCACUGAUCCUGAUGGUUGGAAUCACUGUUGGUAUCAUCAGAACCAGAGGAAGCAAAAAGCCAC